GUACUGCUGAGGAGUCCCAUACUAAGAUGAAACGGCUGUCCAGUAC
rnacentral:hammerhead_ribozyme from 1 species